CUCAGCUCCUGCACAAACACUGCAGCAGGUGAUCCUGUACUGAGGGAGCACAGGGCUGAUGGGCAUCCAUCAGUCUUCUCUUGUAAAGGGGAAAGAGUCUGGGUUGAUCAAUCUGUCUGAUCUGGAUCACUGAGGUGGACUGUAAUUUGUCCUUCCUCUGUGGGGAAAUGCCGAUAUAUCCUGACUUAAAGCAAAUAAUAACCUGAUUUUCGUCCAGUACUCACUGAUGCUGAUU